ensembl:lncRNA
GCUGGCGUCACCCAGUGAAACCCUGCACGGGGGCUGCAGGCCGAGCUGCCCGCGAGUUCCCAGCGGCGCCUGCACUCCUCAGCCGUUGGGUGGUCCAUGGGACCCGCGCAACAGAGCAGGGGGUGGCGCCCGUCGGGGAGGCUCAGGCCGUGCAGGAGCCCACGGCAGAGAGAGGGGUUUGGGCAGGGUGGGUUGCAGGUCCUGAGCCCUGCCCCGCAGCGAGGCAGCUGAGGCCUGGCGAGAAUUUGAGCGCACCGUCGGCAGUGCUGGGGGACCCGGUGCAACCUCCGCAGCUGCUGGUCCGGUUGCUAAGCCCCUCACUGCCCUGGGCCGGCUCCGGCUGGCCACUCCGAGUGUGGGGCCCGCCCAGCCUGCGCCCGCCGGAAAUCGCGCUGGCCUGUGAGCGCUGCGCGCAGCCGCGGUUCCCGCCCCCGCCUCUCCCUCCACACCUGCCGGUGAGCAGAGGGAGCCGGCUCCGGCCUUGGCCACUCCAGAGAGGGGCUACCACAGUGCAGUGGCGGGCUGAAGGGCACCUCAAGUGCCACCAGAGUGGACGCCGAGGCCAAGGAGACGACGAGAGCGAAGGCUGCUGGCAGGUUGUCACCUCUCACUGGGGUCCUGCUUCAUUUCUUAACGCAUCCCUGUGAGGUGGAAUUCCAGGAUUUCAACACGGCUGCAAAGACGAGAUUUUCAACCGCACCAAGAGCUGCAGUUGCAAACACCUUGUUCAGAAAGCGGUGUUGGAGCCUGUCUAUUUCCACAGCACAGACAUUAGCAAAAGAGACUGAGUCGAUGUGGAUCGUUUAAAUUCGGAGAGAUUUGUACAUCAAUUUUAUAGCUGAUGUAGCCUCUUUCUUCCUCUCCCACAACUCCUACACUUAACAUUUUGCUUUACUAUUGUUUGGUCUCCUGUGUCAAAUAAAGCACCUUUUAUAUUUAGUACAAUAGGCCCAGUGUCGAGUUUGUCUGGUCCAAAGUGCUGUGCAAACAUUAACCCAUCCGACUCCCCUUGACCCCACGUUGCCCACCCUGUUUAAACACUACAGUUUUUCUAGAUAACCACUUGGGGCAGUAGCUAUAAAAAUUAUAGAAAGCGCAGGAGAGUUUAAGUAUCUGCUAGGGUGUGUUGCAUACUGAUGUUUCCCCUGAUGUUAAAGGUCUGAAAUCCUGAUUGUUUACAGUUCAGAAGUCUUCCGGAGAGAUGAUUAAGGGCAAGAUGCAUGAAACAGGAAGUGGCCGGAUGCCCUCUAGGAGACGAGGGCUUCUGAUGAUGGACUGUUCAAAAUAUUUCAGAAUAGCGAUAUCCAAAGAUUUUAUGACCCAAGUAGAAUUAAGCAACAAAUUCUUGAGACUCUCCAUAAAUCAAAAAUCACCUCGCCCCCAAAAUAAAAAUAUCUGGCUGAGUUUUGGGGAGUGAAGACGUUAAUUUAUGUAGAUGGCAUGUUGACUAUCGCUCGUUCUUGGGAGCCUGUGUUUUCCUCUUCCAUCUGAGGGGCGGAGCUCAUCCCUCCUUUCUGCCUUUGGAAUUUGUAAUACAUUGUAAAAAGUCCAUUCCAAUUCUAUGACAAGGAAUGGAAUUUGAGGAGUUCACAGUUGCUUUAGCUCUCUAACUUAAAAAAAAUUUUUUUUACAAAAGGACUG